rnacentral:rRNA from 1 species
UGUAGGCGAGUUGCAGCCUACAAUCCGAACUGAGAAUGGUUUUAUGGGAUUGGCUAAACCUCGCGGUCUUGCAGCCCUUUGUACCAUCCAUUGUAGCACGUGUGUAGCCCAGGUCAUAAGGGGCAUGAUGAUUUGACGUCAUCCCCACCUUCCUCCGGGUUUGUCACCGGCAGUCACCUUAGAGUGCCCAACUAAAUGCUGGCAACUAAGAUCAAGGGGUUGCGCUCGUGCGGGACUUAACCCAACAUCUCACGACACGAGCUGACGACAACCAUGCACCACCUGUCACUCUGUCCCCGAAGGGAAAAGUCCUAUCUCUAGGAUUGACAGAGGAUGUCAAGACCUGGUAANGGUCUUCGCGUUGCUUCGAAUUAAACCACAUGCUCCACCGCUUGUGCGG